rnacentral:misc_RNA from 1 species
AUAUUGAUCAUCAAUAUCCAGCCCUGACUUUUCUUUUCAAUAAAAAGUAGAUUUGACUGAAAGCUACUUGAAAGGAUGAAGGUGCUUCUCAUUUUCUUGGUCUGACAUAAGAGCAACACUCCCCCUGCAUCUUUCUCCUUUUUCUUUCAUUGUUGCCCUCUCAUUUGUGAUCAUGAUCAAAAUAUAUCAAUAAGAAUGUGCUAAGGU